CAAGCUUUCAUACUAGUUGCACAUGCAAAUUUGCAAAAGAUAUUAGUCAAUUUCAUGACAGAACCAACUAUAUGCUUCAAGCAGAAAACUAUUAAACGUUUUGGAUUUACUGCAAAUAAAUAUUAACUUUAAAAACUAUUUACAGGCAGAAAUUACUGAAAAGCAAUAAUAAGUUCUUCAUAAAUAUCGGAUGUAGACAGCAUAUUCUAACAGCAUAUAUAAAAUCGGCAUACAUAUAUCGCAGCCAUUGGUUCCAGAUAAACCAUUAAAAAUAGCAGUUCACGAACACGCAUAUAGGAAAACAUUUAAUACUAAGUUCUUUGUUUUACUAUCAUAACUUACAAAUCUGCUUGGUAAUGAAGAGGAUAUUAUCGUUUGUCACUGAGAGCUUGUUGAAUGUAAAACAGAAGGACAGUACGAGAGAAAUACUGAUGUCCAAAAGCUCAGUGCCAAAAGCUUGCAGCACAAAUCUUAAAGAGUGGGAAGUGACUGCAGUCGAACCGAUUUGAAUGGUGAAAAAUCUGCCAUAAAAGACGUUUGAUGACAACCGAAUUGAAGACAUGAAGCGACACCUGCAGCGUUUGUGUAAAGAAGCCGCUUAUGCCCCGCCGUUACCAGAAGAAGACUUAAUUGGAAUGCAGCUGCCGUGUUACAGAUACCAGCAGUAUAAAUAUCAAAAGCAAGGAAGAAAAGCGAUGCAACGGGCGUGGUCGGAUGGCUCAAACCAUCACCAAUGAUAACAAUUGGAAGAAAAUGAAGUCAGUAAGUAAUCCGUGCAGAAAAAUACUCUCGCAAAGUUGUUGGUCAUAAUCGAAAACUGACGGCUUACAAAUAAAACAAUAGUACGUGAAAAUAAAUCCCUGGUAAUAAAUGAACAAAAAUGACGUGCUUCUUAUACUUUCAGUUUUAACCAUUGAACUCUACAUAUACUGGAACGCUAACCCAUUAAAGCCAAACUCUAAAGACCCGUUUACACUUGCAAUUUCUGCCGCAAUUUUAGGUGCGAUUUCCUUCUUCUGAUGGAUGUGAACGAGUGGAUGAGUUAUGAAUGUUCAGAUGAGGGUACAUCAAUGAAAC